rnacentral:rRNA from 1 species
CGGAAACGCUGGCGGGCCGUUAGGCCUAACUAACAUAGCAAGUAGAACGACUGAAGGAGGAGGCUUGUCUCUUCUUGGAUGAAGUUGGUCGAACGGGUAGAGUAACGACGUAGGUAACCUAGCCUGGUAGCGGGGAGUAACUAUGUAACGAUAGCUAUACGCAUAACAGUAGAUGUUGCAUGACAUUUGCUUAAAAGGUAGCAAUUGCAUCACUACCAGAUGGACCUGCGUUGUAUUAGCUAGUUGGUGAGGUAACGGCUCACCAAGGCAACGAUACAUAGCCGACCUGAGAGGGUGAUCGGCCACACUGGGACUGAGACACGGCCCAGACUCCUACGGGAGGCAGCAGUAGGGAAUCUUCGGCAAUGGACGGAAGUCUGACCGAGCAACGCCGCGUGAGUGAAGAAGGUUUUCGGAUCGUAAAGCUCUGUUGUAAGAGAAGAACGAGUGUGAGAGUGGAAAGUUCACACUGUGACGGUAUCUUACCAGAAAGGGACGGCUAACUACGU